CACCGCGGUUAUACGAGAGGCCCUAGUUGAUAACUACCGGCGUAAAGAGUGGUUACGGAAAAAUGUUUAAUAAAGCCGAACACCCCCUCAGCCGUCAUACGCACCUGGGGGCACGAAGACCUACUGCGAAAGCAGCUUUAAUUAUACCCGAACCCACGACAGCUACGACA
rnacentral:rRNA from 1 species